GAGGGUAUAGCUCAAGUGGUAGAGCGCAUGCUUAGCAUGCACAAGGUCCUGGGUUCAAUCCCAGUACCUCCA
rnacentral:tRNA from 1 species